AGGUUUGAACCCAACUCAUUUGACUUCAACACUUACAGAAUUGACUACUCAGAUAAGAGAGAGCCGUCUCUCAGGGAAAUAUGGAAAAGCAAUACUCCACAAACCUCAACGGCAAGAAGAGUUCCUCCAAAGGGAUAGUUAACUCUCCCAAAGGAUACAAAAGGCAUUUAUAAAAUGGAUGACAAACAUUGUAAGGAAUAUACUUUCCUCCAAAUGAAUAUAAAUUCUAUGAAAAUCUCCAAAGACCUUUGAAAGGAAAUGCUCCGCCCCUUUCCUCUACCAGCAAUAUCUGUUGAAGCAGUAUGAAGGGGAGAGGUGAACACUGGAUUGUUUUAGCUCUUGUCAUUAAAGAAAGCGUGUACAUUAAGGCAGCACAGAGAAGGUAUUGAUUUGUGAGACACAAACAGUCAAACACGUACAUCCAUUCUCCAUCCUAAGCAUCCAUCUCCUCUAAGACCCCGCUCAGAUGCUGAAGGACCAGAGAAGACUAAAUCACAAAGCCCAGUUUCCCUUGUUCUCUCAUGGAGAGGCUUGCUCUUGCACAUGUGGACACACUAAGGAUUUUACUCUAG
rnacentral:lncRNA from 1 species